rnacentral:rRNA from 1 species
AACGAACGCUGGCGGCAUGCCUAACACAGGCAAGUCGAACGAGACCUUCGGGUCUAGUGGCGCACGGGUUCGUAACGCGUGGGAACGUGCCCUGAGGUUCGGAAUAACUCCCCGAAAGGGGUGCUAAUAGCGGAUAAUGUCUUCGGACCAAAGAUUUAUCGCCUUUGGAUGGGCCCGCGUUGGAUUAGCUAGUUGGUAGGGUAAAAGCCUACCAAGGCGACGAUCCAUAGCUGGUCUGAGAGGAUGAUCAGCCACACUGGGACUGAGACACGGCCCAGACUCCUACGGGAGGCAGCAGUGGGGAAUAUUGGACAAUGGGCGAAAGCCUGAUCCAGCAAUGCCGCGUGAGUGAUGAAGGCCUUAGGGUUGUAAAGCUCUUUUACCCGGGAUGAUAAUGACAGUACCGGGAGAAUAAGCUCCGGCUAACUCCGUG